UACGUAGGGUGGGAGCGUUGUCCGGAAUUAUUGGGCGUAAAGGGCUCGUAGGCGGUCUGUUGCGUCAGGAGUGAAAACUCGGGGCUUAACCCCGAGCCUGCUUCUGAUACGGGCAGACUAGAGGUAUGCAGGGGAGAACGGAAUUCCUGGUGUAGCGGUGAAAUGCGCAGAUAUCAGGAGGAACACCGGUGGCGAAGGCGGAUCUCUGGGCCAUUACUGACGCUGAGGAGCGAAAGCGUGGGGAGCGAACAGG
rnacentral:rRNA from 1 species